rnacentral:rRNA from 1 species
GUUGAACGCUGGCGGCAUGCUUUACACAUGCAAGUCGAACGGCAGCGCGGGCUUCGGCCUGGCGGAGAGUGGCGAACGGGUGAGUAAUGCAUCGGAACGUGCCCAGUAGUGGGGGAUAGCCCGGCGAAAGCCGGAUUAAUACCGCAUACGACCUGAGGGUGAAAGCGGGGGACCGAAAGGCCUCGCGCUAUUGGAGCGGCCGAUGUCGGAUUAGCUAGUUGGUGGGGUAAAGGCUUACCAAGGCGACGAUCCGUAGCUGGUCUGAGAGGACGACCAGCCACACUGGGACUGAGACACGGCCCAGACUCCUACGGGAGGCAGCAGUGGGGAAUUUUGGACAAUGGGGGCAACCCUGAUCCAGCCAUGCCGCGUGCGGGAAGAAGGCCUUCGGGUUGUAAAGCGCUUUUGUUCGGGAAGAAAUCCUCUGGGCUAAUACCCCGGGGUGAUGACGGUACCGGAAGAAUAAGCACCGGCUAACUACGUG